GACGAACGCUGGCGGCGUGCUUAACACAUGCAAGUCGAACGGAAAGGCCCUGCUUGCAGGGUACUCGAGUGGCGAACGGGUGAGUAACACGUGGGUGAUCUGCCCUGCACUUCGGGAUAAGCUUGGGAAACUGGGUCUAAUACCGGAUAGGACCGCACUUUAGUGUGUGUGGUGGAAAGUUUUUUCGGUGUAGGAUGAGCUCGCGGCCUAUCAGCUUGUUGGUGGGGUAAUGGCCUGCCAAGGCGGCGACGGGUAGCCGGCCUGAGAGGGUGUACGGCCACAUUGGGACUGAGAUACGGCCCAGACUCCUACGGGAGGCAGCAGUGGGGAAUAUUGCACAAUGGGCGCAAGCCUGAUGCAGCGACGCCGCGUGGGGGAUGAAGGCCUUCGGGUUGUAAACUCCUUUCGCUAGGGACGAAGCUUUUUGUGACGGUACCUAGAUAAGAAGCACCGGCUAACUACGUG
rnacentral:rRNA from 1 species